UAACAAUGAUUCCCCUAGUAACGGCGAGUGAAGAGGGAAGAGCUCAAAGUUGGAACCUGUUUGCCUUUGGCAAACCGGAUUGUAAACUAAAGAGUUGUUGUCCAGGCAAGCUAGAUCUGCAAGUCCCUUGGAAUAGGGCACCUUGGAGGGUGAGAGUCCCGUCCUGGAUCUAAGCAUUUGUCUUUUGCGUCAACUUCUCGACGAGUCAGGUUGUUUGGGAAUGCAGCCUAAAGUGGGUGGUAAAUCCCAUCUAAAGCUAAAUAUUGGCGAGAGACCGAUAGCGAACAAGUACCGUGAGGGAAAGAUGAAAAGAACUUUGAAAAGAGAGUUAAACAGUAUGUGAAAUUGCUAAGAGGGAAGCGUUUGGAGUCAGACUUGGCGUUGUCCUGAUCAGCCUGUUCUUUCGAGAGCGGGUUUACUCUGGACUUGUGCCAGCCAACAGCAGUUUUCCUAGAUGGAAAAAACUCUGGGGAAUGUAGUUCUUUGGAAUGAUUAUAGACCUAGAGAAAAUACAUUUGGGAAGACUGAGGAAUGCAAUGGAUGCUUUCAGGCUUUGACUUUGGGAUCUCUGUUGGAGGGUGCGGUUAGUUUUUCAGUUCGCUGAUGCUAGCUGGACCUGAAGGCAAGGGUUCCAAGAUCUUUAAUCCAUUCAGGUUGUUGGCUUAAUGACUCUAAAUGAC
rnacentral:rRNA from 1 species